GGAGGAAAGCAGGGGAUCGCAAGACCUCGCGCUAUUAGAGUGGCCGAUGUCCGAUUAGCUAGUUGGUGGGGUAAAGGCCCACCAAGGCGACGAUCGGUAGCUGGUCUGAGAGGAUGAUCAGCCACACUGGGACUGAGACACGGCCCAGACUCCUACGGGAGGCAGCAGUGGGGAAUUUUGGACAAUGGGCGCAAGCCUGAUCUAGCCAUGCCGCGUGAGUGAAGAAGGCCUUCGGGUUGUAAAGCUCUUUCGGCCGGAACGAAAUCGACCGAGUUAACACCUCGGUUGGAUGACGGUACCGGAAGAAGAAGCACCGGCUAACUACGUGCCAGCAGCCGCGGUAAUACGUAGGGUGCAGGCGUUAAUCGGAAUUACUGGGCGUAAAGCGUGCGCAGGCGGCUUCCUAAGUCAGAUGUGAAAUCCCCGGGCUUAACCUGGGAACUGCGUUUGAAACUACAAAGCUAG
rnacentral:rRNA from 1 species